rnacentral:rRNA from 1 species
AACGAACGCUGGCGGCAUGCCUAACACAUGCAAGUCGAACGAGACCUUCGGGUCUAGUGGCGCACGGGUGCGUAACGCGUGGGAACCUGCCCUUAGGUUCGGAAUAACUCCCCGAAAGGGGUGCUAAUACCGGAUAAUGUCUUCGGACCAAAGAUUUAUCGCCUUUGGAUGGGCCCGCGUUGGAUUAGCUAGUUGGUAGGGUAAAAGCCUACCAAGGCGACGAUCCAUAGCUGGUCUGAGAGGAUGAUCAGCCACACUGGGACUGAGACACGGCCCAGACUACUACGGGAGGCAGGAGUGGGGAAUAUUGGAAAAUGGGCGAAAGCCUGAUCAAGCAAUGCCGCGUGAGUGAUGAAGGCCUUAGGGUUGUAAAGCUCUUUUACACGGGAUGAUAAUGACAGUAACGGGAGAAUAAGCUCCGGCUAACUCCGUG